ensembl:lncRNA
GGGUAUUGACGCCGACGUCUCCCAUUCCCUUUUCAUUUGUAGCGCAACAGCAGAGGACUACCGAAAAAUAUUUCGGACUAACUUUGAACGAAACCCACUAAAUUAACGUCUUAUGUGGCUACAUUUCUUAAGAAGUGUCGGUUUAAUUUCGACAUCGACGAUUUUGUUAGACUUUUUGUUUUUGGUUCAAGCGAAGUUAUUAGCAGUUGAAAGCAAAGCUCGCGAAUAGCCUAUUCUCGCUAUAGUAAUAGUCUAGCCGAUAUCUAAAUUGAAUAAUCUUAUUUUGUGGUUCAACUAUCAUUUAAAGCUGAUUUCAAGGAGAAUGUGUAUAGAUUUACUUGGAUUUUUUUCGUCCAGGACACGGAGCAGGCAUGGAAUUCUUAUUGCUGCAUGCGCUAGUCUGGAAAAUGAAAGUUCCCGCCUCCGUAUGCAGAGCGUGUGUCAUUGCUGUGACUGGAUCCGACACCACUACGGUCACUUGAGCGCAGAAUACCUUUCCCUGCUGGAUCAGAUGGUGAGUUAUCAGCACACUGUAAGAUGAGACUGAAUGCAUGUAUUAAGGACAGCAAAACAACCAACCAAGUAAAAUAGUCAUACGUUUCAUGUUUAGCAUCUGUGUUAGAAAACGGUCGGCCUAUAUUUGGAUAUACAUAGUAAAAGAGCGCUAAGGCUGUAAUGACAGCGAGAUCAAAUCAAAUCGAAACAAAUUUAUUUAUAUAGCCCUUCGUACAUCAGCUGAUAUCUCAAUGUGCUGUACAGAAACCCAGCCUAAAACCCCAAAUAGCAAGCAAUGCAGGUGUAGAAGCACUGUGGCUAGGAAAAACUCCCUCGAAAGGCCAAAACCUAGGAAGAAACCUAGAGAGGAACCAGGCUAUGAGGGGGGGCCAGUCUUCUUCUGUCUGUGCCGGGUGGAGAUUAUAACAGAACAUGGCCAAGAUGUUCAUAAAUGACCACCAUGGUCAAAUAAUAAUAAUCACAGUAGUUGUCGAGGGUGCAGCAAGUCAGCACCUCAGGAGUAAAUGUCCGUUGGCUUUUCAUAGCCGAUCAUUAAGGGUAUCUCUACCACUCCUGCUGUCUUUAGAGAGUUAAAAACAGCAGGUCUUGGACAGGUAGCACAUCCGGUGAACAGGUCAGGAUUCCAUAGCCGCAGGCAGAACAGUUGAAACUGGAGCAACAGCACGGCCAGGUGGACUGGGGACAGCAAGGAGUCAUCAUGCCAGGUAGUCCUGAGGCAUGGUCCUAGGGCUCAGGUCCUCCGAGAGAGAGAAAUAAAGAGAGAAUUAGAGAGAGCAUACUUAAAUUCACACAGGACACCAGAUAAGACAUGAUAUAGAUAUAACAAACUGACCCUAGCCCCCCGACACAUGAACUACGGCAGCAUAAAUACUGGAGGCUGAGACAGGAGGGGUAAGGAGACACUGUUGCCCCAUCCGAUGAUACCCCCGGACAGGGCCAAACAGGAAGGAUAUUUGACACGUGACUCAACAUACUAUAUUGAUUGUUUUCCAUGGAGGAGAUAUCACAAAGCAGAAUGCCCCAGUCUUUUCCCCAACGUCACUUUACAGACCCAUAGAUGAUGCCGAGGUAAAGGCUAGAAUCUUUACUAAUCAUGUUCUGAUAUGCUUUGGUAUUGCGUUCUUGACCCAAUGUUAUAUUGAUGCUUUGUAAGUAGGAAAACCUGCAAAAUCGGCAGUGUAUCAAAUACUUGUUCACCCCACUGUAUCUACCGCGGCUUUGAUUGGACUGAUCAAGUCAACAUCCAGCUUUCAAAAUCGUAGCUCGCAAGCUAGACAAGCAGUCAUCAUCAUGACUCACGUUGACAAUCUACUGUCAAAUCCUUUUCAUGCCUUGUCAUAUGAAGAGAUACUAUAGAUAAAACGUAUAAGUGCAAAUCGGCCAUUAGACAUGAACAUUACACAACAAGUUGGAAAUUGCAAAUUCAACAAUGAGAGGUUGAGAAGGAAUCUGGGGCUAAUUUCAAAUAACUACCCUGCUAUUCAGUAGAUUCGUGUGUGGUCCAAAUCUGGGUUUAAGGGUCUUAUUCCAAAAUUAAAAGGAUAAACUUUCAACACCAAAGGCCAGAAAAAGUUGAAUACAUUGGCCUUGCUGUCAAUCCAGCAUGACUUUUGCCAUGUUCAAAACAACUGGAAACUCGGAACUGGGAAAUCUCAGACUUCAGUGAGUUCAAACAACUAGGAAUUCUGGAGAAAAAAAAGAGCUCCGACAGGGAAAAUACGUUUUGAACCGUCAUCCAACUCAGAAUUCCAAGUCGGGAUCUUUAGAGUUCCGACCUGAAAAUGACUGACAUCAUGAUUCGACCAGUUGUUUUUUCUUGAGUUUCCAGUUGUCUUGGAAGCACCAUAAAUCACCAUAAAUCCAGAGAAUGCCAGACUUUGAUGCCAAAGUUUGAUGACAAGAUGUGCCCAAAAGAUGGACUGCAGCGCCUCCUUCCUGUUCACGUUAGCAUAGCACAACAAGGUGAGUACAAAAAUGUUUUGCAUGCUGCUGCAUAAAUUAUGUAAUAUGCCAGGGAAAUAUGUAUACUCUGGCUAUGAAAGUAAUACUAAGUGUAUGUUAUGUAGUAAGCUGUUAGUAGCCCAUAUGCUUCACCCUGAUAAGUUGGUCCAUUUCCCCCUAAUAACUUAGCCUACUGUUCUGACGUGGUGGUGCAUAUGUAGCCUAUAGCCUGUUGUCGAGAAACCUACUCAUCAAAUAUUGUAAGAGCUUUCAAUGUCUGCUGUACAUGCCCUCAUUUUUUAUCCUACGGUUCUGACUUGGGGUAUAGGGAGAAUACUGUAAGAACGGCCAAUGAUCUGAAUUAUGUCACUGUACAUUUCAAAAGUGCUGAUCAAAUAGUUAUAUUGACUAUGUCCCUCUUUCCUCGCUCAUGAAUGUCUUCAUCAAAAUCAUCGAUUGCCUCAGUUAGUACAUCUCAAUUAUCAGUUGAAAUCACAUUUGUUUAAGUAAGUUAGCUAUGUUUUUUAUGGCAGUAAAUGAGGCUGAAUGAACUGUUUCCCUGCCAGACAAGGCUCCGCUGAUAGCCAGGUGUAGCAGCGGUCAGGAUUCACUCCAUGGUGCUGAAAAAAAAGGUCUGCUGUUGGGACAGCUUUAUGUAGGCCCUACCAAAUUGCGGGCAUCAUUUGUCACCGUUAUAGUGCAAUUAUUGUACUGUUUAGUAUUAUGUUGUAUUGGUAUUGCUGACAUGCAUAAACAUUUUUGGGGUAGUUUGCCCCACCAAGAUUUAGAUGCUAAAAACCAACCAUCAUGAUAACCAGUUUGACCAGUGUUCCAUUUUGCAUAUGUAUGAUGGGAUAAAUAAGCACAACAUCAAACUUUUUCAGUAUUUGGUGAGUGGGCUGACUUAAACCAUUGAUGAUUGUGUCUGAGCAUGAAAUGUAUGCUAAUUUCUCAAUCUGUAUUCUAUUUUCUCAAUCUGGACACAAGUGACAUCUUGCCUGAUAAAUACCUAGAUGGUCUUUUUCGGGAGCAGUGCUUGCAAGAGAACGUGUACAUCAACAUUCAACAUUAAUUUGUUAUUUGAAGACACUCAUUAUCAACAGUUGAAUGCAGAUGAUAACUCUACCAUCGGAAACGUUUUCAUGGAGACACUACGUCGUUCUACAAAACGCUACUUGAGCAAAAUGAAGCAACUUCUAUAGAAAAAUGUUAAAAUAACACAGAAGCCUACAUUGAAUGGUUGUAUUUGAAUCACUUUUUCGUUGUUACAUUUACUCAAUCCAAAUUACUGUGGGGUUUCAUGGUUUCAGGACAACAGUACCUGGGAGGUUGUUCGAAAUGAAAUCGUGUGGAUAUUCAAGAACUUACAGAUUCUACUCGAGUCUAUGCACCAGAAAUGAGCAGAUGUAAUAUAUUUAUGUCAUGCCAUGACUGUAGGCUGCCGAAAUAAACCUGUUGAACCAUUUAACAUAAUUUGUAAUUAACUGACUGCACAAAUACAGUGAAAUUCAUCUCAAGUUUUAAAAUAAUCAUGAAUUAGUUGAUUGGCCAACAAUCUUGAACAAUCAAUGCCAUGAUCAGAUAGUUCAUUGUUACAUGGUAACCUAAUAUAAAGGCUUAACAUAAAAUCUGCAUAAUCAGAAACCUACACCUCCAAUUACACCUCGUUUAUUCAGAUUAAGAUAGCUGACGUUGCCACCGAUGUCUGUUCCUUUCUGUAUGUUUUCAGACAUCUAAAUUCCUGUAGAUUGUGAAAACAGUAUGUCACACACUGCGGUCGCACCUAAACGACUCUUAUCUGUACACACAGACUUAUGACUAAGUCACUUAAGAUUAGCCUGUAUCAGCAAAGUACUAACAUAUAACAAUGGACAAUUCUCUAAGUAAAAACAGCAUAGUAAGUCUAAUUAAACAGCACAGUAAAACCAUGAAUUUUACAUUUCCACCACAUAAUGACGCAGUAUAACAGUGGCGUACAGAACGGCAUUUCAUAAAUAACAAUUUGUGGCUCCUUGUCAUGGAUGGGCUAUUGCAACAGACGACCAAAAUGGGUUCUACUCCUACCAGUUAAAAGCAUGAAGUGGCUCUAGUGGGAAGGCAAUCACGAAAACUGGACAAUUGAGAAGUGGAAAAUGGUUGCUUUGUCCGAUGAAUCCCGGUUCUUUUUGCAUCAUGCUGAUGGCAGUCAGGAUUGGUGUACCUAAUUAACUGACCGCUGAGUGUAUUUUACAUGUUGAUUACUGUGAGGGUGGGGGCAUCUCUAAAUAUAAUGUCCAAAAGAAUAAAAUAAUAUUAUCAUUUUCUUAUUGCUUAAUAUGUCAUUAUUUGUUGUUGUUUUUAUAAAUAUUUUACCACUUUCCACAA